GACGAACGCGGGCGGCGUGCCUAAUACAUGCAAGUAGAACGCUGAAGAGAGGAGCUUGCUCUUCUGGAUGAGUUGCGAACGGGUGAGUAACGCGUAGGUAACCUGCCUUGUAGCGGGGGAUAACUAUUGGAAACGAUAGCUAAUACCGCAUAACAAUGGGUGACUCAUGUCAUUUAUUUGAAAGGGGCAAAUGCUCCACUACAAGAUGGACCUGCGUUGUAUUAGCUAGUAGGUGAGGUAACGGCUCACCUAGGCGACGAUACAUAGCCGACCUGAGAGGGUGAUCGGCCACACUGGGACUGAGACACGGCCCAGACUCCUACGGGAGGCAGCAGUAGGGAAUCUUCGGCAAUGGGGGCAACCCUGACCGAGCAACGCCGCGUGAGUGAAGAAGGUUUUCGGAUCGUAAAGCUCUGUUGUAAGUCAAGAACGAGUGUGAGAGUGGAAAGUUCACACUGUGACGGUAGCUUACCAGAAAGGGACGGCUAACUACGUGCCAGCAGCCGCGGUAAUACGUAGGUCCCGAGCGUUGUCCGGAUUUAUUGGGCGUAAAGCGAGCGCAGGCGGUUUGAUAAGUCUGAAGUUAAAGGCUGUGGCUCAACCAUAGUUCGCUUUGGAAACUGUCAAACUUGAGUGCAGAAGGGGAGAGUGGAAUUCCAUGUGUAGCGGUGAAAUGCGUAGAUAUAUGGAGGAACACCGGUGGCGAAAGCGGCUCUCUGGUCUGUAACUGACGCUGAGGCUCGAAAGCGUGGGGAGCGAACAGG
rnacentral:rRNA from 1 species